GCCAGUGUGGCAUAGUGGUUUGUGUGGACUACGACUCUGGAAACCAGGGUUCGAUUCCCAGCUCAGCCA